rnacentral:rRNA from 1 species
AUUGAACGCUAGCGGGAUGCUUUACACAUGCAAGUCGAACGGCAGCGCGGACUUCGGUCUGGCUGCGAGUGGCGAACGGGUGAGUAAUGUAUCGGAACGUGCCCAGUAGCGGGGGAUAACUACUCGAAAGCGUAGCUAAUACCGCAUACGCCCUACGGGGGAAAGCAGGGGAUCGUAAGACCUUGCACUAUUGGAGCGGCCGAUAUCGGAUUAGCUAGUUGGUGAGGUAACGGCUCACCAAGGCGACGAUCCGUAGCUGGUUUGAGAGGACGACCAGCCACACUGGGACUGAGAAACGGCCCAGACUCCUACGGGAGGCAGCAGUGGGGAAUUUUGGACAAUGGGGGCAACCCUGAUCCAGCCAUCCCGCGUGUGCGAUGAAGGCCUUCGGGUUGUAAAGCACUUUUGGCAGGAAAGAAACGUCGCGGGCUAAUACCCCGUGGAACUGACGGUACCUGCAGAAUAAGCACCGGCUAACUACGUG